GACGAACGCUGGCGGCGUGCCUAAUACAUGCAAGUAGAACGCACAGUUUAUACCGUAGCUUGCUACACCAUAAACUGUGAGUUGCGAACGGGUGAGUAACGCGUAGGUAACCUGCCUGGUAGCGGGGGAUAACUAUUGGAAACGAUAGCUAAUACCGCAUAAUAUUGGUUAUUGCAUGAUAAUUGAUUGAAAGAUGCUAUUGCAUCACUACCAGAUGGACCUGCGUUGUAUUAGCUAGUAGGUGAGGUAACGGCUCACCUAGGCGACGAUACAUAGCCGACCUGAGAGGGUGAUCGGCCACACUGGGACUGAGACACGGCCCAGACUCCUACGGGAGGCAGCAGUAGGGAAUCUUCGGCAAUGGACGAAAGUCUGACCGAGCAACGCCGCGUGAGUGAAGAAGGUUUUCGGAUCGUAAAGCUCUGUUGUAAGAGAAGAACGGGUGUGAGAGUGGAAAGUUCACACUGUGACGGUAUCUUACCAGAAAGGGACGGCUAACUACGUG
rnacentral:rRNA from 1 species